CGAAAGCCUGACGGAGCAAGACCGCGUGAGGGAGGAAGGCUCUUGGGUUGUAAACCCCUUUUAUCUGGGAAGAACAAAAUGACGGUACCAGAUGAAUAAGCCUCGGCUAACUCCGUGCCAGCAACCGCGGUAAUACGGAGGAGGCAAGCGUUAUCCGGAAUGAUUGGGCGUAAAGCGUCCGCAGGUGGCAAUGUAAGUCUGCUGUCAAGACCCAGGGCUCAACUCUGGUCAGGCAGUGGAAACUACAUAGCUAGAGUUCGGUAGGGGCAAAGGGAAUUCCCGGUGUAGCGGUGAAAUGCGUAGAUUUCGGGAAGAACAUCGGUGGCGAAAGCGCUCUGCUGGGCCGCAACUGACACUCAGGGACGAAAGCUAGGAGAGCG
rnacentral:rRNA from 1 species